rnacentral:sRNA from 12 species
CCUAACCAUUUGGUUAGGCCACACGUCAAUUUAUUAAGGCAUUAUUAAAAUUUAUUUUAAGCUAUAAAAUUCAAAAAUUCCUUGCGAGGAAUUUUGGUGUGCAGGUAAAUCCUGCUUUGUGCAAGCAAGAUUCUUGACAUGAGGUAAUCAUGAGAUAAAUUGGCUAUAAGUU